GCUCGAAACGAACGGUUGUGCGCUUCCAAUAACUGCGGCUCGCGUCUACUCACAAAUUACUGAGUGGAGUUUUCAUUUGCAAGCAGAAAUAUUUUAAUAUAAAUUGUGGAAUAUUUCUAGACGAUCGCGUUGACCACAAAUAUUAAUUACGAGCAACUGUACGGGGGCAACAAAGAUUCUAAAUUCUAUAUUUGCGCCGCUAAAUUGAGAACUUUUUGUAAAUCAACGCCUUUCUGGUAAAAAAUUGUCGGAAGACAAGCAACGGCUCCGAGAUGUUCACACACAAUUGGCUAAAGUGGCCAGUUCUAAUUUGGCUGCUGAGCUGCUGCUAUUUGCUGGCCUUCACAGAU
rnacentral:lncRNA from 1 species